UCACUCUGGAGAUAGUGAAGGUGGCCAGGU
rnacentral:piRNA from 1 species